GCCUCAUGCUUGACAGGGCUCUAAAGGGAAUCGACUGCAUGUUCUACCCAAAGCUGGAGAUCUGGGCAGACCUGCAGCUGCGGCGUCAGGCAGCCACUCGGAUCUUCUUCGCUUUGGGUCUUGGCUUCGGGUCGAACAUCGCCUACUCCUCCUAUAAUCCGAACAACAACUGCCACCGCGAUGCCUUCACUAUCUCCCCUAUCAACUUCCUCACAUCUGUGCUUGCCACUCUGGUGGUUUACGCUGUGUUCGGCUUUCGUGCCAAAAACAAGGCCGUGAAAUGUGUGGUCAGGUAUGUCGUAUGAGAAGAAAAACACUGAGAUAUGCAUCAAAAACGACGAUAUAAAGACUAAGAGUAGAACGUAGGAAACAUCUCCCUGUUUAAUCUACAGCGCGGGAAGGCCGCAUGCACAUAUUAAUACACUCCUAUGCUAAUAUCUUGGAAAUGAUCAUUUGUUUUUAGGCGUAUGUGGCAUGCUGGAAAAUGUUAACAUAUUACCCAACCGUAGAUCGUUAACUUUAUGCCGGUACCACAGUUUAAUUAUCAAUGCAUGUUGCAUGAACUGUAUGUUUAUCGGCCUCCUCUUCAACCAGCGCUGUGGAAACUACUUUGUGAUGAUGUUCGAUGAUUACUCUGCCCCUCUGCCCCUCUGCCCCUCAUCAUUGUCGUGGUUUUUGAGACCUUCAGUGUGUCUUGGCUAUAUGGCGCUGAUAGGUUCCUUGAUGACAUUGAAGGGAUGCUGGGCUGGCAUCCUGAUGUGAUUUACAAGUACCUGUGGAAGUACGUCUGCCUGCCUGCUAUGCUGGGGCUGCUGGGCGCCUCCACCAUCCGCAUGUUCAUCAAAAGCCCCACUUAUAUGGCAUGGAACCACAGAAGGUAUCUUACCACUGAAUGAUGUAUUGAUGCAUUUAUGUUUUAGUUUGUUAAAAAUAAAAACAAUAGCAAUGACAGAGUAAUUGAUAUCAAGUGGAAUAAGCAGUUUUGAGCUGUGUUUUGAAAUGGGGGAAUGAAUCGAUGUCUCUGAGUUGGGGUGGUAAUGACUUCCAGAGACGGGGAGCAGAGUGGCUGAAUACUCUGCUCUCCAUGGUGAUGAUGCCCGUCCCGUUGGCCUUCAUCCACAUUGCUCUGCAGGACCAGACAAGAGACAGACAAACAGUGAUACAAAUAGAGCGGCCGGUCAGUACAGUAUUGUUAGCACUGACAACAAUUCUGGAAGUCAGACCUUGACCAAAAAACAUGACUGCUGCUUCUGUUUCUCAAACACUCGACCUGAAUUUACACAAAUGAAUCAGAGAGAAGUAAAAACUUCAGUGGACCAUUUUGAAGAACAUUUAAAUAAGCGCACAGGUUGUUUUUCCCACAAUAUUUUAUUCAACAACAUAAAGUACAGCCUUUUGCAUUCAUAUGAUACACACAUCACAGCACA